rnacentral:rRNA from 1 species
GGGGUGGUGCGUAACGGCAAAAGCACCGCCGGACAUCAGCGCUAUCUCUGCUCUCACUGCCGUAAAACAUGGCAACUGCAGUUCACUUACACCGCUUCUCAACCCGGUACGCACCAGAAAAUCAUUGAUAUGGCCAUGAAUGGCGUUGGAUGCCGGGCAACAGCCCGCAUUAUGGGCGUUGGCCUCAACACGAUUUUACGUCACUUAAAAAACUCAGGCCGCAGUCGGUAACCUCGCGCAUACAGCCGGGCAGUGACGUCAUCGUCUGCGCGGAAAUGGACGAACAGUGGGGCUAUGUCGCGCCAGCGCUGGCUGUUU